rnacentral:rRNA from 1 species
UACAGAGGUGGCAAGCGUUGUUCGGAAUUACUGGGCGUAAAGGGUGCGUAGGUGGCGGGGUAAGUCUGGUGUGAAAUCCUGGGGCUCAACCCCGGAACUGCACUGGAUACUGCUUUGCUAGAGUACUGGAGAGGGAACUGGAAUUUACGGUGUAGCAGUGAAAUGCGUAGAUAUCGUAAGGAAGACCAGUGGCGAAGGCGAGUUCCUGGACAGUUACUGACACUGAGGCACGAAGGCCAGGGGAGCAAACGGG